rnacentral:lncRNA from 1 species
GCGAUGGUGGUCCUAAGAGCCAGAGGGGGAAGAGGGGCUGGCUCUCAGUCCCUGCCUCGUUGGGGGUGCCUCCCCCCCCUGCGAUGGGGGUCAUGAGAGCCGGGGGGGAUGAGGGGCUGGCUCUCAGUCCCCGCCUCGCGGGGGGUGCCUCCCCCCCCUGCGAUGGGGGCCCUAAGGGCCAGGGGUGAUGUGGGGCUGGCUCUCAGUCCCUGCCUCGUGGGGGGUGCCUCCCCCCCCUGCGAUGGGGGUCCUGAGAGCCGGGGGGGAUGAGGGGCUGGCUCUCAGUCCCCGCCUUCUGCCCUUAGGCUCUGGUAGAUUGUAAAUAACCUGCUUUCUUUCUGUUCCCGGGCGGUGUCGAACCCCUGUCGGAGAGUAAAUCCGAAGUAAGGUACUUGCCGUGGGCAGAUUUGAGCUUUCUUCUUGGACACCUAAUACCCACAGUCCUCCAGGUGAGUCCUAAGGAUCUUAGGAUGAGCGAUGGGGGUCCUAAGGCAGUGGGGGGAAGAGGGGAUGGCUGUCACCCAACCCAAAAUGGGCGGCCUUUAUGUUCCGGUUUUGCCCAAGAGUCAGCUUAUUUGCUUGUGGUACUAUCAGGGCAGUUGAUGCCGCGGCCCUCAAACGGGGGCCGUCCUUUAGAAACCCUCUCUAUUUGUUUAGACACGUAGGCCACCGGCCUCAGCCAGGGCCCCAGAGUUUCGGUUAAAAUUCCAGCUGCCAUCUUUUCUCUAUCUGACGCAUUCAAUGGAAAAGGCUUUGUCAGAUCGGGUACCCCCAGGGCUGGGGCUGCCAGAAGUUUUUCCUUGAAGUCAUGAAAGACUUGCUGUUGUUGGGAUCCCCAUUCGAAAGGUUCCCGGUCCCCGCCCCCUUUGUGACCUCAUAGAAAGACUUGGCUAAUACUGCAAAGUUUGGGAUGCACAGUCUACAAAACCCCACAGCCCCUAAGAAUUCCCUCACCUGCNNNNNNNNNNCCGUCGGCAGAUUUGAGCUUUCUUCUUGGACACCUGAUACCCACAGUCGUCCAGGUGGGUCCUAAGGAUCUUAGGAUCCACGAUGGGGGUCCUAAGGAUCUUAGGAUCCACGAUGGGGGUCCUAAGGAUCUUAGGAUCCACGAUGGGGGUCCUAAGGCGGGGGGGAAGACAGGCUGGCUCUCAGUCCCCGCCUUGCGGGGGUGCCUCCCACCACUGCGAUGGGGGUCCUAAGAGCCAGGGGGGAAAGAGGGGCUGGCUCUUAGUCCCCGCCUCACUGGGGGGGCCUCCCCCCGGUGCGAUGGGGGUCCUAAGAGUCAGGGGGGAAUAGGGGCUGGCUCUUAGUCCCUGCCUCGCUGGGGGUGCCUCCCCCUCCUGCGAUGGGGGUCCCAAGAGCCGGGGAUGAAGAGGCGUUGGCUCUCAGUCCCCGCGUCGUGGGGGGUGCCUCCCGCCCCUGCGAUGGGGGUCCUAAGAGCCAGGGGGGGACGAGGGGCUGGGUAUGAGUCCCCGGCUCGCGGGGGGUGCCUCCCACCCUGUGAUGGCGGUCCCAAGAGCCAGGGUGGGAAGAGGGGCUGGCUCUCAGUCCCUGCCUCCUGGGGGGUGCCUCCCCCCGGUGUGAUGGGGGUCCUAAAAGUCAGGGGGUGAAGAGGGGCUGGCUCUUAGUCCCCGCCUCACUGGGGGUG